rnacentral:rRNA from 1 species
UAGGGAAUCUUCGGCAAUGGACGAAAGUCUGACCGAGCAACGCCGCGUGAGUGAAGAAGGUUUUCGGAUCGUAAAACUCUGUUGUUAGAGAAGAACAAGGACGUUAGUAACUGAACGUCCCCUGACGGUAUCUAACCAGAAAGCCACGGCUAACUACGUGCCAGCAGCCGCGGUAAUACGUAGGUGGCAAGCGUUGUCCGGCUUUAUUUGGCGUAAAGCGAGCGCAGGCGGUUUCUUAAGUCUGAUGUGAAAGCCCCCGGCUCAACCGGGGAGGGUCAUUGGAAACUGGGAGACUUGAGUGCAGAAGAGGAGAGUGGAAUUCCAUGUGUAGCGGUGAAAUGCGUAGAUAUAUGGAGGAACACCAGUGGCGAAGGCGGCUCUAUGGUCUGUAACUGACGCUGAGGCUCGAAAGCAUGGGGAGCAAACAGG